GCGCCUGCCCGUGCGGUUUGUGCUUCUUCUUCUUCUUCCCAUCGCCGCUCUCCCCCGGUCUCUGCGGGCCCUGUGACCUCCGGAGGGCAAGGCCCGGGUCUUCCUCGUGUGGCAGGUUCCUGAUCCUCGCCCGCAGGACCCGGCAGCACAAUGGGGUUUGAGGACACGCCCUUGUUGCCCACGCAUGAAGAAAGGGUAAGCGCUGAAGGCUGCCUGGGGAACCAAUCCCUUCACCUAGAUGUGGGCUAACCUUCCCUCCCAGACUAUGGUGGAGUUCCUUGAAGUGAACAGGAUGAUGUAGUCAUCUCAUUGUCUAAAGAGAGCCAGCUCCUGUCCUGCCUGCAGUGAAGGGCUUUGCUGCUACUCACCCUGACAAGCUUUUUACUGCAUCAUUGCCACCUCCCUGAACAUGAGAAGGGUGCAAGCCAUGUGUGCUGGACGUGGUGGCAGCUGUCUAUUCAAGUAUGCUCAGUCUGAACCAGAGCCUCUGAACAUGAAUAUUAGACAAUGUAAUAAGGGCUUAUCUCGCCCAGAAAUUUAUAUAAUGGCUUGGAAAUGCAGUUUCCAGAAAGAUCCUAAUAAAAUACUUUUUUAAAGUA